AAUAAAGUUUUCUUUAUUGGGGUUGCGGACAUAUCAUAACGAAGAGGUAUCGUAAUUGAAGAGGUUUGGAAAGACCCACCACAGAAGGUAAUAGUCCUGUAUGUUAAACGAGAAGACUUUAGAUAUGAUCCAGAGUACCACGGGACACGUGAAACCCUGUGGGAAGCAGGAGGGACCACCCUCCAAGGCUAAAUACUACCUAGUGACCGAUGGCGUAUAGUACCGUGAGGGAAAGGUGAAAAGAACCCCGGGAGGGGAGUGAAAUAGAACCUGAAACCCUGCACUUACAAGCUGUGGAAGCACAUUUCUUGUGUGACCGCGUACUUUUUGUAGAACGGG
rnacentral:rRNA from 1 species